AACGACGACGACGACGAUAAAGACGACAACAAACUCAAUGACGAGAACAACAACAACAAUGACAACAACAACGACGACGACACUUGCGAUAACAACGAUAGCAACGACGACAACAACAAGAAACACGACGACUAUGACGAAGGCGACGACGACUACAACAACAACAACAACAACAACAACAACAACGACAACAACAACAACGACAACAACGACGACGGCAAUGAUUGCAGCGAUAACCACAAUGACAGUGAUGAGAACAACGACAACAACGAUAACAACAACAACAACA
rnacentral:lncRNA from 1 species